rnacentral:tRNA from 1 species
CUUAAAUAGCUUAAAAAGAGCAUAAUAUUGAAGAUAUUAAGGUAACAUAAUUGUUUUUGAGUAA